AUUCUCUGAAUCUGCGAACGGCUCCGCAUACCAGUUGUAAACCAUAGCGAGCAAACCCAGGGGAGGCAUCUCUUUACGGGGUGACUACCCUGGGUUGCACAUGGAUAUCCAUGGUAAUCCUGAGGCUAAUACAAGGACAUAGGACCUGGUCGACCGGGCAACUGGAAGACUGGGGGUUGUGUGAAGCCUAACCGCGACACAUGAUCAGGAAUUAAUGCACAAUCAGACCACCAUACCAAACAGGUGAUCCUUUGGCCCACGCCCCCUUGGGGGUAGGGUCCGGGGUGAUCUUGGGUGGCUCUCGCUUCGUGCUUCUGACCUAUCAACUAGAUGGCAGCGUAAAGGACAUGCCAUGGUAACAACGGGUACAGAGGAUAAGGGUUCGAUCCUGGAGAGUGGGCCUGAGAGAUU
rnacentral:rRNA from 1 species